rnacentral:rRNA from 1 species
CAGUCGCCGCGGGAAUACGAAGGGGGCUAGCGUUGCUCGGAAUGACUGGGCGUAAAGGGCGCGUAGGCGGCUUGUAUAGUCAGAUGUGAAAUUCCUGGGCUCAACCUGGGGACUGCAUUUGAUACGUGCAGGCUUGAGUGUGGAAGAGGGUCGUGGAAUUCCCAGUGUAGAGGUGAAAUUCGUAGAUAUUGGGAAGAACACCGGUGGCGAAGGCGGCGACCUGGUCCAUAACUGACGCUGAGGCGCGAAAGCGUGGGGAGCAAACAGGAUUAGAUACCCCUGUAGUCCCUGUCUCUUAUAC